rnacentral:rRNA from 1 species
AACAUCGACUUCUUGAACGCAUAUUGCGGCCAUGGGUUAGCCUGUGGCCACGCCUGUCCGAGGGUCGGCUUAUGAAAUAUCACGACGCCCAAUAAGUCGUGGCUUGGGUUUUGCCAGCUGGCUAUGAUCCCCCUGCUUCUGUUGGGGGUGUCAGAUCUAUGGCGUUUCCCUAAUGUAUCCGGAUACACGCAUCUGGUUGUACCAGGUGGAGAUGUGUCGACGGAGUCGUGGCUCAGUAUUGGUUAUGCGCGCUCCGUUUUCCAUUUCUUGUGGCAAUAUCCGAUGAAAAUCCAAUCAAUCCUGACCUCGGAUCAGACGUGAUUACCCGCUGAACUUAAACAUAUCACUAAGCGGAGGAAAAGAAA